rnacentral:rRNA from 1 species
GAUGAACGCUGGCGGCGUGCCUAAUACAUGCAAGUCAAGCGAACGGACGAGAAGCUUGCUUUUCUGAUGUUAGCGGCGGACGGGUGAGUAACACGUGGAUAACCUACCUAUAAGACUGGGAUAACUUCGGGAAACCGGAGCUAAUACCGGAUAAUAUUUUGAACCGCAUGGUUCAAAAGUGAAAGACGGUCUUGCUGUCACUUAUAGAUGUAUCCGCGCUGCAUUAGCUAGUUGGUAAGGUAACGGCUUACCAAGGCAACGAUGCAUAGCCGACCUGAGAGGGUGAUCGGCCACACUGGAACUGAGACACGGUCCAGACUCCUACGGGAGGCAGCAGUAGGGAAUCUUCCGCAAUGGGCGAAAGCCUGACGGAGCAACGCCGCGUGAGUGAUGAAGGUCUUCGGAUCGUAAAACUCUGUUAUUAGGGAAGAACAUAUGUGUAAGUAACUGUGCACAUCUUGACGGUACCUAAUCAGAAAGCCACGGCUAACUACGUG